CUCGAGAAGCGNUUUCCCGGCGGAUCUAUCCUGCCUAAGUUGCUUGGAACAGCACAUCAGAGAGGGUGACAAUCCCGUUUGUGGCAGGGUNGACCGUUCAUGAUACGCUUUCUAUGAGUCGGGUUGCUUGGGAAUGCAGCCCAAAAUUGGUGGUAAACUCCAUCUAAAGCUAAAUAUUGGCACGAGACCGAUANCGAACAAGUACCGUGAGGGAAAGAUGAAA
rnacentral:rRNA from 1 species